rnacentral:rRNA from 1 species
AGUGAACGCUGGCGGUAGACCUAACACAUGCAAGUCGAACGGCAGCACAGUAAGAGCUUGCUCUUACGGGUGGCGAGUGGCGGACGGGUGAGGAAUACAUCGGAAUCUACUUUUUCGUGGGGGAUAACGUAGGGAAACUUACGCUAAUACCGCAUACGACCUACGGAUGAAAGCAGGGGAUCUUCGGACCUUGCGCGAUUGAAUGAGCCGAUGUCGGAUUAGCUAGUUGGCGGGGUAAAGGCCCACCAAGGCGACGAUCCGUAGCUGGUCUGAGAGGAUGAUCAGCCACACUGGAACUGAGACACGGUCCAGACUCCUACGGGAGGCAGCAGUGGGGAAUAUUGGACAAUGGGCGCAAGCCUGAUCCAGCCAUACCGCGUGGGUGAAGAAGGCCUUCGGGUUGUAAAGCCCUUUUGUUGGGAAAGAAAAGCAGCAGGUUAAUACCCCGCUGUUCUGACGGUACCCAAAGAAUAAGCACCGGCUAACUUCGUG